GGGGCAAUGAGAGUGGGAAGGGGGAGGGGAGAAGAGAGUGACAAGGGAGAGGGGGGAGAAGAGAGUGACAAAGGGAGAGGGGGGAGAAGAGAGUGACAAGGGAGGGGGAGAGAUUGACAUCCAUCACACACACAUGCAAUGCACCCCUUGCACACAGAAAAACACACAAUGCAUUACACACACAGACACACACACACACAAACAAUGCAACCCUUACACACAAUGCAUCCCUUACACACACAGAAACACACAAUGCAUUCCUUACACACACUCAAUGCACCCCUUACACACACUCAAUGCACCCCUUACACACGCACACACUGCAUCCUGUACAUACACAGAAACACACCUUGCAGCCCUUACACAUACAAACACAGAUUCACACAAUGCAUUCCUUACACACAUAUCAGGACAUCCCCUACACACUCCACCCCCUG